rnacentral:lncRNA from 1 species
ACUGGAGAUAUAUAUAUAUAUAUAUAUUUAUUUAUUCAUUCUCACACACACACACACACAUAUAUACAUGAAUAUAUGAAUGCAUGCAUUGCCUGAACAUCACCCUAAGCAAUUAUGAAUUUGGAGCAGAGCCCUGACAUCCAUUAUUCAUAACAAAUUUGUUUUUAUUCUUAUGAUGCAGUAAUGAGGAAAGAUCCCGUUUUAGAAAUCUGAAGUUUAACUUGGUUAGUUGUUGCUAUAGCUGAACAGUUUAUCUGAGUAGGUAAUUUAAUCUGGAGCUUCUCAAACAUGCAUAUAUAUCAACUGGAAUCUUGUAAAACACAAACUUAUAAAUCAGCAUGUCUGGCCAAGCACAGUGGCACAUAUCUGUAAUACCAGCAGCCUCGGAGGCUAAGGCAGGAAGAACUCAAGUUCAAGGCCAGCCUCUUCAAUGGAGAGAUGCUAAGCAAUUCAGUGAAACCCUGUAAAUAAAAUACAAAAUGGGACUGGGAGUGUGACUCAGUGGCCAAGUACUCCUGAGUUCAAACUCCUGUACCCUCCUCUUACAAAAAACAAAUCAGCGUGUCUGAGUAGAG